CGUGCUUGUUUUUCUAUCGAGUGACCUUCAAGGUGGUGUAGAGAAAGGUUGAUGUUAAAAGAAUGCAUAUUUGUGAUAUAUGUGGUAAAAGCUUCAAAAGAAAAUGGAAUUUAACAAGACACAAUAAGACACAUGAACCGGCAGAUAACCAUCCAAAUCCUCCUUAUAAGUUGUAUACAUGUGAGAAGAAUAACUGUGGAGCGGAAUUUACAACUAAUACUGGUCUUUGGCAAAACAAAAGGAGAGAACACCUGCAUAAAGUUGAGAGGGGACACAAUAUGUGUCCACUGUGUGACAAGAUAUUUGGACAGAAAAUCCAUCUACACGCACAUAUGGCAUGCCACUCGGAGGAAAGAAAGUUUAAAUGUGAUCGUUGUUGAAAACCAAUGAAGCACCAGAGAAGCUUAAAAAGACAUUAUGUUAAAUGUAAAGGUAUUCAAGAGAUCAAACAGUUCGUAUGCAGUGUUUGUAAUAAAGAGUUUCAAUCCAAGCAAUAUCUCAAGGUACAUUGCAAAUCUGCACACCAAAAGCCUGUCUUCCAAUGUGACAGUUGUGGCGAAAUCUUUAAGUGGCAGUCAAGCUACAACCGACAUACAGCUAAUGGUCGAUGUCCUGGAAAGAAGACAGAUGA